UGGAGAACUGAGGGGGGCUGCUCCUAGUACGAGAGGACCGGAGUGGACGCAUCACUGGUGUUCGGGUUGUCAUGCCAAUGGCACUGCCCGGUAGCUAAAUGCGGAAGAGAUAAGUGCUGAAAGCAUCUAAGCACGAAACUUGCCCCGAGAUGAGUUCUCCCUGAGACUUAGAGUCUCCUGAAGGAACGUUGAAGACGACGACGUUGAUAGGCCGGGUGUGUAAGCGCAGCGAUGCGUUGAGCUAACCGGUACUAAUGAACCGUGAGGCUUAACCUUACAACGCCGAAGCUGUU
rnacentral:rRNA from 1 species